rnacentral:rRNA from 1 species
UACGUAGGCAGCAAGCGUUGUUCGGAAUUACUGGGCGUAAAGAGUGUGUAGGCGGUGCUCUAAGUCUGUUGUGAAAUCUCCCGGCUUAACCGGGAGGGUGCGGCGGAAACUGGGAGUGCUUGAGGGUGGGAGAGGUAAGCGGAAUUCCUGGUGUAGCGGUGAAAUGCGUUGAUAUCAGGAGGAACACCUGUGGUGUAGACAGCUUACUGGACCACUUCUGACGCUGAGACACGAAAGCGUGGGUAGCAAACAGG